rnacentral:rRNA from 1 species
CGUGUAGGCGGUCAGAUAAGUCUGGUGUGAAAUCCCUUGGCUCAACCAAGGAAAGUCGCUGGAAACUGUUUGACUUGAGUACGAGAGAGGAGAGUGGAAUUCCCGGUGUAGAGGUGAAAUUCGUAGAUAUCGGGAGGAACACCGGUGGCGAAGGCGGCUCUCUGGCUCGAUACUGACGCUGAGACGCGAAAGCGUGGGGAGCAAACA